GUACAAGCUUGUUAACAGUAGUCCAAGAGAGAAAUCUUGUCAAAUUGGACAACAGGGAUGGCAGUGAGGAGAGAAUAUUAUGGAAGAGGACUUAUCAGGGCUUGAUGACUGAUGGGAUGCAGAUAAAGAAAGGAGAAAGAGAACCUUUCUUGGAUGUGAUCAGAGGGACAUGUGCCAGGGGAAGAAAGACACAAACAGAUGGAAGGCUGCUGACAUUAAAGUUGGAGGAAGGGAGUCAUAAACCAAGGAAUGUACGUGGCCUCUAGAAGCUGGAAAAGGUGAGGAAAUGGAUAUUUCUCUAGAGCCUUCAGAAAGAAAUAUGGUCCUACUGGCAUCUUGAUUGCAGCCUAUUGAGGCUCGUAUUGGACUUCUAACAUACAGAACUUUAAGAAAAUAAAUAAGAAAUGCAUAUGCUUUCA
rnacentral:lncRNA from 13 species